rnacentral:rRNA from 1 species
GCCUGUGGCCAUACCACCCUGAAUGUGCCUGAUCUCGCCUGAUCUCAGAAGCUAAGCAGGGUCAGGCCUAGUUAGCACUUGGAUGAGCAGAAAUGGUACUCCUUAUU